GUGCUCGCUUCAGCAGUAUGUAUGCCAAAAUUGGAAUGAUACAGACAAGAUUAGCAUGGCCCCUGCUCAAGGAAGAUACAAAUUCAUGAAGUGUUCCAUAUUUUU